rnacentral:lncRNA from 1 species
UUCUCUCCACUUUCAUUACGAAAUCUGAUUUCACUCUCUCUCCUCUCUUCACUCUCUAUUUGGCCGAAACUAGGAAGAAAAAAAGGGAAGAAAAAAAACCUAGCCAAAAUCCUCACAACCUUGCUUCAAUCCACUUCCAAAUUUCAUCAUCCAUUAGAGGGCUUUGAUCCUAGCUUGGAAAAGGGGGCUGUUCAUCGGUUUUCUUGGAGGAAUUUCGGUCAAAAUUUCUGCCCUAAAGCUGUCCAACUAAGUUCUUGAGGUAACUCACUCACCCACACUUCAAUCUUGCAAAAUUGUAGCUCAAAUGGAGCAAAGGUAGCAUGGGUUUGCAACCUAUGGUAGAAUUUGGGUUGAUUGGUUGAGUAAUUAUUUUCUUGCAAUUUCAUGACAUGCGUGAGGGCUUGAGGAUGCUUAUUGGUGGCUGAUUUGAUGAAUUAACAUGUUUUGGUUGCUGAUAUUGUGCUAUGUUACAUGUAUAUAGAAUGAUUGAUGGAAUGAAGUUGGAAGAAAGUUAGAAAUUUGGAGAAGGUAUUGUCCGAAAUUUCAAGGACUUGCUGCCCUGUUUUGCUUUGAUAUUUUCGUGCAUAAUUUGGCUACAAAUGUGAGUGAUAUAUGUUAUGUUAUGUGUGUGGUGGUUGUCUACAUAAAAAAAUUAGCCAAUUUGGUUGGAUAAAUUUUGAAUUAUGAGCAAAGAGGCAAAACUGGACUAGGUCCAGAAAUUUUCUGACCAGUGAUCUUGUGGAGAUCAUAACGUUUUUCUCGAUGAUCAAAAUUGAGUUCCGUUUGUGGUAUUUGAAAGUAGACUCUUAGAGCUUUAAAAUGGUACUAAGCCCAUUUUCUAGUUCGUCCGAGCGAUUCGUGACGAGUCUUGAAAGUUGACUGCCUGUUUAUUACUAUUCAUCCGAGACUGUCCAGAAAAUCCAUUUUGUUGCUUGAUUUUGAACCACUUAUGUCUGGAUUUUGGAAAUGAUUUCUUCUACACAAAUAUAGCCUUGUAAACCUAGUUUCUAAAGCCACCAACCAUUUUCAAUUUCACUGAGAAUCGAGUGAGAUACAGCCUAAUUAGCGAAGGGCAUUAAAUCUGGAAAAUUCCUGGAAAGGCCAACAGUCCAGGAAUUUUAGCGAAACUUCAACUUUUAUUUCUUGAGCUAGGAACAUCAGAACCGAGUUCCAUUUUUUUGAUUUGAAACCUGGAUUGGAACUUUACCUGCAUAUCAAAUUUCAAAGGCUGGUUUUGAUUCUAUGAUUUUGGCAAAAUUCCAAAGUUAUUGGAAAAACUUGGACUGUUUUGACCUAUCUUCAAUGAAUAAUAAACUUUCUUGGAGAAAUUGACUUGUUUCUGAUUUGAUUCUUGGAAAGUAACCUUCUACAAAGUUGUUAUGCUUUGAAUGAAGUUUCUGACGGUGUAAAAUUUUCUAUUUUUAGACUUUCCAAACUUCCGGACUGAUUUUUUCCAAGAAUAACUCGAAAAGUGAAAAUUUCCAAUUUGGACCUAAAUGUUCUUUUAAGGGCCUAGGUUACAUUUUUACAACUCUUAGAGCAUUUCAAACCUAUUUUCAUGGUGAACUUGAGUUCACCUAUCACUUGAGACCUCAUUUGAAAGUCGGUUCCUUAUGAAUUGAAAUACUUUGGAAACUUGAAUUUUGGAGUCAAAAUUGACUAUUUCUUUUCUUUACACGAAUACUGUAUGGCCUGGAAUUUGAUAUACAAUGCCUUAUUGCAUACCUUCAGGAUCUCAAGAGGAUUUCGAGGAACUCCCGGUGAAGCGUCUUAGAGCUAAUUUCUCAAACUUUGACUUUUGAUACUUGGUGAGUGUCAAGUGCAUGUUUACUUGUACUUCACUUGAGAUUUGUUGCCUACAUGAACUCUACUUGAACUUGUUGUUACAUGAACUAUACUUGUUGAGGGAAGUGUGUACUUUACCGCACUUUAUCUCCUUUACUGGGAUCAAUAUAUGACUUGCUACAUGAAUUACAUGAAACUACUAGAUUUUACAUGUACGUGACCUGAAGUCGAAUGCAGAGAAAGUCUCAUCGACUAAAACUUGAUCUGUUUUUGAAAACCUGACCUGUGGAGACACCUAAACCCAAUGGUUAAACCUUGUAAUCUCGCAGCCAAUCGUGAGGUCUUGGUCGGGAAAACUUGGUAAACCCUGGGACCUGAAACUUGAUCUUUUGAGAUCUUGCUUGGCAUACUUGUAUAGUAUCGCCUUUACAUGCCUGUUGGUUACGGAUCCGAGAGGGUGAAAUGAUGGAUGGAUGGAAGUAAGUAGAGAUCUACAGAUUGGAUAUUUAUUCCGUUGACGGAGUGUCAACCCCUGAUUCGUGGAUCGGGACUAUGGCAAAUAAUCUGGAAAUGAGCUCCGGAGAGGUCCAAUAUUCUUGAAUUGUUUGUAUUUAUGAGUACUUGCCGAUACUUGAAACUACAUGACAAUUACUUUUGAUCACUUGAUCAUAUUACUUGAACUACAUGCGCAUGUUAUAUAUAUGUAUUUUGUUUUUUUUCCUGGCCUCACUGAGCGAUUGCUCACCCCAUUAGUUGUUUUCCUUAACAGGAAUCUGGAUCGGAGAUGUUUUGAAGAGAUCGACUUGUUUUUGAUAUUUUAGAACUUUGGAAAUGAAAUUUAAGGGCUGGUUAUGGACUUGUAUUUUGGAAAUCUGAAUGUAUAUAUUGGAUUCUUGUGUUGUAAGUUUGAAUAUAUCGACGGAAACGAAUUUUAUUUAAUUUGUCCUUUUAGC